UCCUGGUCAUCCUGGUCAUAGUCAUCAUCAUUGCUCUCGACAUAUAAUGUCCUUAACGUGUUCACCUCUCCUUUUAAGGAAAAGGAUAUGAACUCUCCCUCUUUAAAAUUGAUCACUGCAAUGUACUGCUCCCAUCCAUCACCGUAUAUGAUGGUUUUAUUCUUUCCUUUGCGCAGAUCCAAUUCAUAUUCGCGCUCCUCAUCAUCCUCAAAGUACAACAUGUUACCAUAUGAAUUGUUGAUGUCCUCCCAUAUGUUCCAUGGGACACACUAUGAAGCCUUUAAUAAUCAACAAUAAAGUCAGUAAAAUAGUUAAACAAAUGAUUGGAAUUCAAUAAAAAUUCAAUUAAAGACCGUUACCACUGAUUUUUGAAACCCCUUUCUCAAAUAUACCACGAACAGCACUGCAGUUUGAAGCCUGUCCGUACAUGGAUUUUGGUACACAUUGCACAUCUUACGCCUCAUGGUCCCUAAUAAUCAUUUUGAAGGAGUGAUUAAUUCCAUGACCCGAAUGAAACACAAUCCUUUCAAAUAAAGAAGCUAACACGGAAGAACACGAAAAUUUGGCAUGACCUUUGCUUAAUAUUGAAUAUAUUGAGUACUAGAAAUUUGAUAAAACGAAAGUUAAUCAACGUUUCACCAAAAUGUUGGCCCUCAUUUCAAAUCUCUACUGAUGGGGAGUGACUUGGCUUUUGUCAUAUUUAGAGUCUAACCGAUCCUAAAGAACUUCAGACAAAAUAUUGCAUUUUUGUCUAUUAUUAAUUCAUGGGGUUCCUACUUUUGAUCCUAGGUCUAUAAAUUUCUCUAUCAAAUGAAGAAGGUAACAUGGAAGAACACGAAAAUAUUAUACCGGUGAUGGCUUCGGUGGACGGUAGCGUUGGUUGGUCGAGGCGGAUAGCGGCAGCGGCAGUCGAGGCGGACGACGGCAGUGGCGGUCUAGGAGGACGAUGGCAGCGGCGGUCGAGGUGGAUGACGGUGGCGGUCAGUGGCGAACGACGAGCAGAUUCAGCGGCGGCGCGCACUACACCACGACACCACAAUAACGACAUGCAUCUGUCUGUUCGUAACAAUACCGACACACUAAUUUUUGAUGUUGUUCUCGUCUUUCGAUGAUCUGUCUGUCGGCAAUGGAUGACCGCUUUGCGGACAUACUAUGUGUCGGUAUAAGUUUUUUGCUAUUAGAUUAUGUGUCGCUGUUGCUUUGCGAUAGAAAGAGUGUCGGCGUAUGUUUGGGCCUAGCCAACUUAUUUUGGGCCACACGGGAAGAUCCUCCGGCGUCAGUGGCCAGCGAAAGAGUGGAGGCGAGCGAUGAGCAGAUCCUGCGGCGUCAGCGGCCGGCUAGCAGAUCCAAUGGCGGUGCGUGUCUGAGGGACGGCGACGGCGGCGGGCGAGGCGCACGAUGGCGCAGAGGGGGAGAGAAACUGACAAAGUGAGUGGGAACCGAAAAAUAGAUGCACAACGGUUCGGCACCAAGCAUCAAUAGCUGUGGCCGACGUACAAGUGUGCCCGCCACCGCAAAUAUCAUUAAAAUUUGGAUGGGAUUGGUGCGGUUUGCUAAUCUAUAGUUGUGGUGGGCAUUGUAAGCAACCCGCCACAACUAAUGGAGUACCAGUGGCGGGCACCAUGGAGUUGCUCGCCACUGCGUUGUUGAGCCGGAGGACUUAUUUGGAAGGGUCUACCUGUGACGGGCCCAAACCAGUGCCCGCCACUGAUCUGCCUUUAGCUAUGGCGGGCUCUCCCUGUCACCCGUCACAUAUCUUUUUGGAAAAUAACUGUGGCGGGUGCCCCACCUCGCCCGCCACUCGUUGGGGUUCACCUAUAAGCUCUUUCCUAGUUGUGUUACCUAGAUGUAAUUGUUAUUGUUCCUCCAUAGUAUCAAUGUUUGGGUCAAAAGAAUGUAUAAGGUGAUUGUCAAGUUCCUCGAUACCACCUUCGAUAUGUCCGUCUUUAGGUGCGUCAGGCAUGACAUAAUUUUUCUAAUCUGGAACAAUAGCUUCAUUGAGAUUUGGUGCCGGUGGUUUAUUAUGCACUCCUAUGAACUGGGAUCAACAAUGCCCAGAGAUAGUUUAUCUUUGUUCCAUGACCGUAUAUACUAGCAAAGCCCGCACGGCGGCACGCCGCGCCCAUCUAUAUGGUGUCUCUAUACAGAUUUUAUUUAUUAUUUACAGUAAGUUUUAUUAGUUUAAGAUAGGAGAUUCAUGUAUGUAAAAAUAUGGAUGUAGUAAGAUAACCUGGAAAGAGGCAUAUUUGUUGCCAUCAUGCAUGCUGCAUGUGGAUAAACAGAGAAAACAUGUUGAUAGAUCUUUGAUACGGCUCAUUUAUUCUUGCCGUGCGUGGCCCGUUGUACAAAGCAAAUGCUAUGUGAUGAUGCUGUUACAAUAAGAAGCUGCCCGGAUGAUCAUACUUUCAGUAGAGCACACAUUUGUAUUCUCGAAUGGUCAGUACAUGCAUGCAUUGUACAUGUUGGCCCAUCAAAAUCAUUACAUUAGGAUACUAUAUAACACACCAACCAUCAUCUAUAGGCGUAGGAUAACUUCUAUAUAACACACCAACCAUAAUCUAUAGGCGUAGGAUAACUUCUUUGUAAACUACAUUUCUUGUCUCGGAAGCUGGACAUCCACAAUCAUCCUCAAUCAGGAACUUGAGACCACCACGCAAAGUAACACGCGACACUGGAACAUACAAUUGCCCGUGCGAAAACAAAGGCCCUCGUAAAUACACGCACACCUUAUGUAAGGUUUGUCCCUAGCUUUUAUUGAUUGUCAUUGCAUAGCACAAUCUUAUUGUAAAUUGACACCAUCGCACCGUGAAUGGCCACUUAGACCCUGCUGGAUUCAGAACUAUACGUGGAACGCACACACGCUGUCCUUUAUUAGAACCAGUUAUAGUUUCUCCCUCUAAAACCCUGUCACCCAUCCGGGUAAUAAUCAAACUUGUUCCAUUGCAUAAACCCAAUGAUUGAUUAAUAUUUCUGAGAAGCAUAACAGAAACACCAACCUGAGUGGUCGGACCACUAGACGCAUCCGAAGAACCUCCUAAAAGAAUAUACGUACAACAUGAACCAAGCAAAACAUAAACGGUUUGUCUAAUUCACAUCUAGAUGUUUUUUAAGGAUGUCACGUCUAAUCUCCCAUAAAUAACACAGCAACAAGGAAUAAAAAAACCUGAGACAAAAAGAAUAGACCACAAACAUAGUGGAUACUAAUGCAAUCCACGGGGGAAGCCCGGACCACAGACAUGCACGCAGUCACAUCAAACCUACACAGUUGCAUGCAUGCAUGCACUCGCAGAUCACCGAAGCAUUUUCCUAAACAGAUGUAGUCGCGUCAACUCACCGGCAACAAAAUCAACAUGACGCUUUUCUAAACAAAUCUCUCAGCGCCGACGGCGCAAUUCACCAGCCGACGAACUCUGAGCUGUAGCCCCUGCAGAAAACGACCAAAUAAAUACCUAAUUAUACAUCGAAUACGCAGGAGAGAUUAACAAAAGGCCACCGGUUAAGCCAAAUCUACCAGCAGGUGCGGAGCCAGCGGGAUGACGACCACCAUGCACUAACUGAUCAUCGGGUAGACGGCCACCAAUAGCACCCUCCGCCAUGGGUGCAGCACGACCUCGUCGACGACCAACAACAGCCCCACGGAUUUCAGGAGGACGGCGAAGGCCGCUUCGGCCAGAACUCCCCGCGGACUGGGUGAAGACCACAACCUGAAACACGAGGGAAAACAAUGGGGGGGAUCACGUAUUUAUAAGGACCAGAG
rnacentral:lncRNA from 1 species